rnacentral:rRNA from 1 species
UACGGAGGGGGCUAGCGGUGUUCGGAAUUACUGGGCGUAAAGGGCGCGUAGGCGGCCCACUAAGUCGAACGUGAAAUCCCUGGGCUCAACCCAGGAACUGCGUCCGAUACUGGUGGGCUUGAAUCCGGGAGAGGGGUGUGGAAUUCCAGGUGUAGCGGUGAAAUGCGUAGAUAUCUGGAGGAACACCGGUGGCGAAGGCGACAUCCUGGACCGGUAUUGACGCUGAGGCGCGAAAGCCAGGGGAGCAAACGGG